AGAGAGAGAGAGAGAGAGAGAGAGAGAGAGAGAGAGAAAAGAUCAAAUUUUAAUCUUUCACCCCCUUACACGUUGAGAGAGAGAGAGAGAGAGAGAGAGAGAGAGAGAGAGAGAGAGAGAGAGAGAGAGAGAGAGAGAGAAUUCCACCACCUUCUUCUUUCGAUUUCUAGUGGUGAGGCUGAAAAGUGUUGCAAAUUGUAUGGUAAAAGGCACCCAUACUUUCAAAUAUACCUAAAAUGAUUUCUAUUAAUUAAAUGACCUAUAGAUUUUGUAAACAAGUGGUACCUGUGAUCGAAUAUUUUGCUUGUUAAAUAAGUGAAGCAAUUUUUAGUACACAGAUAACAGCAAAUGUUAAAAAAAAAAAGGGUUUCUAAAUAUUCUUUCAAUUCUGGAGGUCUCUAGAUCAGACCGGACAAUAUCUUUGCUUUCCUCAAUAUGCUGUUAAAGAUAGGAAGGUUUAUAAUGGCUUUUAAUGGCUUGUAAUGGGUUGUAAUUGGUUGUAAAGGGUUGUAAUUGGUUGUAAAGGGUUGUAAAGGGUUGUAAUGGCUUGUAAUGGCUUGUAAUUGGUUGUAAAGGGUUGUAAAGGGUUGUAAAGGGUUGUAAUGGCUUGUAAUGGGUUGUAAUUGGUUGUAAAGGGUUGUAAAGGGUUGUAAAGGGUUGUAAUUGGUUGUAAAGGGUUGUAAAGGGUUGUAAUGGCUUGUAAUGGGUUGUAAUUGGUUGUAAAGGGUUGUAAAGGGUUGUAAAGGGUUGUAAUGGGUUGUAAUUGGUUGUAAAGGGUUGUAAUGGCUUGUAAUGGGUUGUAAUUGGUUGUAAAGGGUUGUAAGGGGUUGUAAGGGGUUGUAAAGGGUUGUAAAGGGUUGUAAUGGGUUGUAAUUGGUUGUAAAGGGUUGUAAAGGGUUGUAAAGGGUUGUAAAGGGUUGUAAAGGGUUGUAAUGGCUUGUAAUGGGUUGUAAUUGGUUGUGGUUGUAAAGGGUUGUAAAGGGUUGUAAGGGGUUGUAAAGGGUUGUAAUUGGUUGUAAAGGGUUGUAAAGGGUUGUAAAGGGUUGUAAGGGGUUGUAAUGGUUUCAGAAGGGCGUAACAGCUGGUGCGCGGUUCCAGAAAGGAUUCAAAGCAAAAAUAUACGUUUUUUUUCUAAGAGAAUUUAAUGACUGGGCUGGUUUGUGAUGGUCUGUAAAGUGGUGUCAGAGGGAAUCAAAUGACAUGGUUAAGGUCUUGAAGAGGAAGUGGAAGAGGCGUUGUGCUGGUUUGUAUAGGACUGGGUAGUGUGUGUGUGUGUGUGUGUGUGUGUGUGUGUGUGUGUGUGUGUGUGUGUGUGUGUGUGUGUUUUGGAGUGUUUUAAGUGAUUACAUAAAUAUACAUGAAUGAUUAAACAUAUAUACAUACACACACAUAUACACACACACGCACAUACUAGGAAGGGAGAUGAAAGAAUGAUGAUAAAUGAUGGAAACAAACAAUAGGAAAUAAGAUUAAUAGGAAAGUAGAGAAAAUGAAAAUAAUUAAACCGAAAUAUGCUUGCUUUUUUUUUCUUUCUUUCAUUCCUUCCUUCCUUCAUUUUCCUCCAUGCACCUUCUUUCUCUUUUCAUUUCCUUCAUUUCUUUUGUGUUUUUACCCCAAAUAAAAAAAAAUAACUUGCAGAGAAAAAAACACAAAAAGAGAGAAGAUAAUACAAGAUUCUUAACAAAACAGCCUUUUUUUUAUGUAAAUACGAAAAAAUAAAUAAAUAAACACAAUUAAUAUAAAAAAAAAUUCUCUACUCUUUUUUUUUUAUUUAAUUUCCUUCUUUGUCAUUUUUCAUUGGUGGCUCAGUUUAAUGACGCCACGAUAACCCUUUCUUAAACUUUAAUUUCCUCUAUCUUUCUGUGUUUAUAUCACAACAUUUAUUUACAAUUUCUGUUGGUAAUACUGGCAAGGCUUGUGUUGGUAAUACUGGCAAGGCUUGUGUUGGUAAUACUGGCAAGGGUUGUGUUGGUAAUACUGGCAAGGGUUGUGUUAAUAUCUGAAAGGGUUGUGUUAAUAUCUGAAAGGGUUGUGUUAAUAUCUGAAAGGGUUAGGUUAAUAUCUGAAAGGGUUGCGUUAAUAUCUCAAAGGGUUGUGUUAGUAUUCCAGCUGGCUUUGUGGAAUGAGAUGAAAGGGUUGGACUGGCCUUUACACUGCUCAGUUAUUAAUUAAAGUGAAGUGAGAGUGUUAGAGGAGAAAAUGUUGCUGUUAUUUGUUUAUUUAUUUGUAGUGGGUCAGGGAACGAUAAACAGUUAAAUAGGAUUAAUAGAAAGACAAAUGUUAUGAUCUUUUCUGUUCUUCUCGUUGAAGUGAGUAAUAUUGGUAAACACAGGAAUAACUGCAAGAAAAAGAAAAAAAAGGAGAGAGAGAAGAAAAAUAUCGAUAGUUUUCAUUCUAUUCGUUAAAAUUAUUUGGGACUGAAAGAAGUAAAAAAAAAUAAUAAUAAUAAAGAAAUUAAGUGAAACGAGACGAGGAGUUUAAAAAGACGAAAAGAUGAAAU